rnacentral:lncRNA from 1 species
GGGACAUUAAGGCUGGGGAUGGUGCAGACAUUCAGUUAAGAUCACUGAGGUGGUAACAGCGGAGAUCGGCUCUGAGACCACAUCCGUAGUCUCUCUGGCUCCUCCCAUACCUCCCUCACCUGCUUGCUCAUGAAGCUGAGUAACAACAGGAGAGCCUAGAAGACGCUCUGCCUGCAUGGUGCAGACACCAACGCCACGGCGACAUCGAGGAACUGCCCGCCCGGAGCUGCGGUUUGGGGCGCACUUUGUCAGCUCUUCCUUCCAGGUUCCAGCCUGCAGACUUGCCCCUGGAAGAAGUCGAGACGGUGAUUCACCGAGCUGGGCUCUGAGUGACUCAGCCCUCUACUCAGCUUCUCUGGACGAAGUCGCCUGGCACUGGGUUGUCCUUGGAGCAACCAGUCAGACCCAGCGAUGUACCAUCAUGGGCUGGUGGCAGCGGCAGUAUCUUCUAUUAAUAGAGUGCUCCCCCACCAAUGAAGGUCAGAGAGCAGCCCAGCCACCCUGGGAGGCUCAGCGCCACAGAGACC